GCGGCAGGUGCGGCGCGGCCCGGGCGGGAGUGGUGCGAGUUGUGCCCGGUGUGCUCCCGCUUCUUCCAGUGCUCCCGGGUCCUCGUGUGGUCCCGCAGCCCCGGCCGGCUGGGCGCUGCUGGGCUGCUGCGAGGCCGGGCGGCGUGGAGAGCGUGCCAUAAAGUGCCGAGACCAUGCAGCCAUCAGGGACAGGAGCGUUAUUGGUGUAUUGUGGAUGGUUAUGUAUGUGUGCUAGGUAUAUAUGGUCCGUGUUGCAGUGUUUUCUCAAGACCCAAGAGGCGUCGUCUGCCCCUACUGAGAACACACAGUCGACUAAGAUAAGGAAACUUUUUUGCCAAAAUUUACCAAGGGGUUCGUAUCUAAGAGAAACUCAAGUUGCUGAUGCUCAGUAACUUUGCAGAAGUUGAAUGCAGGAACAUCUGGAUUAGCAUGAAUCGCAAGGAUGCUAAUGGAUGCCGCUGCAAGAUGUACAAAAAUAGAGUAGCUUUGCCCUGCCACAUUUAUGAUUGGAUAAUUAGAAAUAAGCACCAGUGGGUAAUUAGGUGAUUCAUGUCAUACCAUUGUGUAAAACUCCUAAAGCAAAAUCUCAGGGGUGUGCCCAGUUUGGCUGGGGCACUUUAGAUGCAAGAAUAAAUAUUUAUGUUUGUAAUUCUCUGGUUUGUGUCCUAGCCUCUCUCCUUGAUUGGCACCAGCCAGCUGUGAAUUCAUAACAAGAGUGCAAGUGCUUUGGCUUCUCUCUUCCAAGGAAGGGCUCUGCCCGGAGCUCCCACCUCAGGCACUGAAUUCCUGUGGGUGCUGUCUGUGCUUCCCGCCGUGGCGGGCCGGAUUUCGAGGAGCAGUGCCAGCAGGCAACAAGGAGGCCUGAAGGCCUUUGGCUCAUAACCAACGCUGACGCUGCAGCUGGAGCUACGGGAGCGCCUGCAGCUCGGGUAGAGCCUCCCGGCUUCUGCCUCUGAUCUGAGAACAUCGAGCUUUCCUGGUGUCUUCUCUAACACAGUUUGUGUGGUGAAUCUCCCAGUAUUGUUUGUUGCUGCUCAAGAUUCAUUAAUACGUCGUGAGCUGCUUUGCAGAUGCCAGCUUUGCCUGCUAGCCUUAGAAGUGUUCGACGCGUUUGUUUCCAGAGCUUGAAUGGAGAUGCGUGCUCUUGGAAACUCUUCUUGAGGGCAGUCCAGCAGAAGAGCCCGAGCUGACAAGGGUCAAAGUGCCUGUGUGACAUUUGGGUCCAAAGCAAUAGAUGAUAUAGAUGCUAACACAACACAGUUAUAUUGCGGAACCAGAUGGAAAUCUGAUCCUUAAUACUUUCUUAUACCUACUGUAAUGCUUUUUCUACCUUUUCCUCAAAUUGUAGAGUAGAGUGUUCUAAUUACUGUACAUUCCAUUAAUUUUGUUUUGGAUGGCAAAAAAGAAAUUGACAAUGGAAACUGCUUACCUGCCACCGAAUAUCCCAGGUUUAUGCCCUACAGGUUAUUUCAAAGUGUAUACUGUCACCCAUAUGCAUUGCUACUGUUUUCAUUCAUAGGACAAUAAAAAGUGGGUACCCCCUUGGCAAAUAAAAACUCUCCCAGAAAA